CAGGAACUAGGCACACAAAGAAAACAACAGGGCUGUUAAUGCUCAGUUCAACGCAUUAGUCACCAGGGCCAGAAAAGGCAACAAACAAAUAAGACUAAUUCCUCAGCUGGGAUCAUGUAGAGCCCCUUGAAGCUGCAUUGAAACAAUUUGGACCUAUAUGGAGAAAAAUCCUGUAAUGUUUUCCUCAAAAACCUUAAUUUCUUGAAGAUAGAACGACAUGAACAUUUUGGAUGACAGGGGUUUCAUCAACAUCACGUACAUCAUUUCCGGCUGGGAUGAUGGCCAACCGCAGCGUGUCGCUUUAAACAGGGACGCGAAGUGACAGUGCUGCAAAAGCCAAAGAAAACAACAGAUGUGGAUCGAAG